rnacentral:rRNA from 1 species
AACGAACGCUGGCGGCAGGCCUAACACAUGCAAGUCGAGCGAGACCUUCGGGUCUAGCGGCGGACGGGUGAGUAACGCGUGGGAACGUGCCCUUUUCUACGGAAUAGCCUCGGGAAACUGAGCGUAAUACCGUAUACGCCCUUUGGGGGAAAGAUUUAUCGGAGCAGGAUCGGCCCGCGUUGGAUUAGGUAGUUGGUGGGGUAAUGGCCUACCAAGGCUACGAUCCAUAGCUGGUUUGAGAGGAUGAUCAGCCACACUGGGACUGAGACACGGCCCAGACUCCUACGGGAGGCAGCAGUGGGGAAUAUUAGACAAUGGGGGCAAACCUGAUAUAGCCAUGCCGCGUGAGUGAUGAAGGCCUUAGGGUUGUAAAGCUCUUUCAGCUGGGAAGAUAAUGACGGUACCAGCAGAAGAAGCCCCGGCUAACUACGUG